AUGUCCGGAGUAAGGGGCCAGCCCACGGGCUGGGAGGAAGGGGAGAGGCUGCGCCACUGCUCCCGGCUCCCCGGAGACUCCACUGCGGAAAACAGAGAGCUGAGCCCCGGCGCGGAUCAGCCGAACUCGACAGGCCCUGGCGGGUCACCUGCCCCUAACCCUGGUUGGGCCGGGAGGGGUCUUCUCCCCACAAGUCCCCUGGGCCGGAGGAGGCUUCUCCUUUCCAACCCCCGCGCCCGGCGCCUGCCUUAGACUGCUGCCGCCCGCCGGGCUCCUCUCUCGCUCCCGGUGCCAGGUGGCCCGAGGUGGCCCGCGCCAUCGUGCCGUCCAGCCGACUCAGAUUAACGCAGGUUCGACGUUCCGCGUCCUCAGGGAGCAGGUGGGAAGGACGCGUCUGGGGUCUGUGGUCUGGACCUCCGGCCUCGGAGCGCGCAGCAACCCCACGAGGCAGGAUUGCGACCGCGGAGGCCUGCAACUGUGACUGAACUCGCGCCUCCUCCACCCGUUUCGCGGCCCCCAGUCCACCCCGGCUAAUGGCGUUAACCUUGGAUUCCCCUCAAUGCCGCGCCCUGUGGCACCCGGGAAAGUCUCCACGCAGGAAGGCCCAGGGCCCUGGAAGCCAGCUGGAAACUCAAGCACUCUAUGAAGAGUCUUACGUGGUGAGGAACUGAAGCCUCAUGCCAGCACCAGCAUCUACCUGCCUGACAGAAAACUAGAAGAGCAAGGCAUUGGGGAAUUCAUAUCUGCUAGAGAAAUAUGCAUUUCAGCCUGGGCUGAUUGGAGCCUGGAAUAUGAUGGUGAGACUCCUACUCACAAAUUGGAUGGUGAUGGAAAGGCCAUCCUGAUGAGCCAAAAAUUUUGUCAGAAGACAGAGUGAUGUUGGACAACACCACUGAGCCACAACUUCCAUCCACGCAAGACUUAAUAUAUUUCCUGGGACAAAAGUACCUAGGAAACCAAAAGCCUUUCAGCUUGCCCCUUGAAGCGAAUUUCCCUUUGGCUGACACUGUACAGCAAAGUGUAUUAAUACCCAUGAUGGGUGAUCAGCCUUCAAUAAAUAAUGCUGGUUGUUCUAAUGU